ensembl:lncRNA
GAUUUUAUUCAUUCUAGAAACAACUGUGCAUACAUAGAUGACAUAUGGAUAACUCAGUCUUUGUUGAGUAAACAGAAAAUGAAAAUAGCAAAGGGUUGGUUUAUAUUUGAGGGAACUAGGGGAAGUACCUGGGAUGCACUGCUGAUACUUUUCAUGGUGGGGAUGGUAUUUCAAUUCAAAAGCUCAUACAAAUGUCCUGGAUAGGGUUAUCAAUCUCUUAUUAUAUUCUCCUAUAGGACCAAAAAUGUAGAAGAGUGUUCUGCUAACUAGAUGAGUGUUUGUAUAAAUAUUUAUAAAUUAUUCAAUUAAUUUUUGUGGUUUAGGACAUUUUUUGCAUGGUUUCUGGACACACACACCAUGGUUUCUGGAGGAAAAUGUAGCACUGAAAACUGCAUUUUGCAAUUUUUUUCUUUUGGCAAACUGUCAGUGAUUAUAAAAAGGUGUAUUAAUUUUGUUUGUUAUCCUAGGUGCCAUGCAGCAAAAGAUGUUUGUCUGUAGGUUCAGUUAUAACAAUAGGCACCACCAAAAACUAUGAAGCAGGAAAGGAUUUUUGACUGAGAAGUGAUAGCCAAGUGUAAUAGGAUUCCCCAUAGACACUACUUUGCCUAUUAGCAGUUCCCUGCAUCAGUAAGGAUGAAGAACCAGCUGUUGCUCUCAAUUAAAACCUCUGCCAUGGGGCUGGGCAAGAAGGACAUUAAAAGCCACUGAUCUAUUCUAAAGGGCAGAUGAUGGGAGGCACAUGCUGUAACACAGAAAUGCAUCAAAUCUGAAUUGCAGGAGAAAGAAAGGCUAUGAACAAGGACCUGGAUAAUAGCUGGACUACCUGAGUUGGGAUGAUAUCCAACACAACUGUAAACCAAAGCUUAGAAGGAGCUAGAAGAUGAAUCCCUCUACAAAAGAAGAAAGCCAAAUUGUUCUCACAGAUCGACAGAGGCCUGAUCUCAUCUUUAACCUGGAAUCCCUGUCUAACAAGCAUUCAUCCCCCUCACUACCAUCUGAGGUAUGUUGACAAUUCUCAGACUCCUGUAGAAGGUCAUCCUUAUCUUUGCUCAAUUGAGAACUUUCCACAUUCCCCUGUUCCAUCUGUUUUCCCAAGCCAUCCACAGUUCCCAAAUCCACCUGCCUUUCUGAGUCAACAACAUUCCCUGGGACAAACUGCUGUUCCACAUUUCCUGGAACAAACUGCUAAAACCCAAAUCCCCUUUCAUCGUCAUCAGACUGAACCACAACAAUUUCUUGAAACAUAUCAGUGGAAAAAAACAGAGCAAUACAAAAUAUAACUAAUAUUGUUCCAGUCUUUAUGAUCUUAUAUUAAGAGAAUUUUACCAGAGCCAACUACCCAAUCCUUCACUUGUGAUCUCUUACUGCAUGAUCCAGAACACAUUUAUUAACUGAUUUCAGUACUCCCUUUGAAUCAUUAUUUUAGGAUUCACUGGCAUCCGGAAAGACAGCUUUUCAUCACAAUGGGCUUGUCUACAAGGACUAAAAAAUCAUAUUUACUUCGUAUUUGAUCUGAUCCUGACAAACACCAAAGUUGUGAAAGCAUCCUUCAUUUAUUGGGAAGUACAAGAUUCCCCCUGUCUUGAGUUUCUUUCCUGCUAAGUUAACUAAGCACAAAUGCUUUUACACGUUGAACUCAAUUUGCAACAACUAAAGUAAAUUGAGGAUGAAGUAGGAGGCAAAGAGAAAAACUAACACAUUUUAAAAGUAGCUGAAAAAUGGAAUGAUGGAAGAUUAAUUGGGACCGUCUCUGCCAAACUGGGACUAUGGGAGGAUAUAUAACUGAGGCCCCUUCUACACUGCCAUAAAAUUCAGAUUUUCAAAUCAGAUUGUCCACACAUUAUCUUCUUUGAACUGGAUUAUAUACACUGCCAUAUAAUCCAGUUCAAAGCAGAAAAUGUGGAUUUUAUAUAGAAGUGUAGAAAGGACCUGACAAGUCCUUGAAGGAAUGCCUGCUGCUGUUGCUUGCUGAUCAGAAGGGAG